AAUCAGGAGAAAACAUUAGAUUGUAACUGAUUGUAUCUUUCUUCUGUUCCCCAGGAGUGAAAUGUAAAUAGAGAGGAGGGUCUACACAGAUCUGACACAAUCUAAUCAAAUCAGACUGGAGUAGAAACAAUUCAGUCUUCCAGUGAACACACUGCACUGCACAAUGGAUGUCUUUUCAGUUUUUCUCUUCUAUAGUCUGGCAUCUGCUGUCUCUGGAAACAUCAUCACACCAGAUGAAACAGAGCUUUCUGCUGAGGAGGGUUCAAAUGUUACAUUAUCCUGUAGUUAUUCCUCUGCAGAUGAUCUAUUCUGGUACCGUCAGUAUCCCGGAUCAGCUCCUGAAUUUCUUGACUUCAUCUUUGAUGGUGCAACAAACACAAAAAAGUCUGAUGUAGAUCCAAGAUUCUCAGUUAAACUCAGUAACCGGGAACAAAAGCAUGUGGAUCUGAUCAUCUCCUCUGCUGCUGUAUCAGACUCUGCUCUGUAUUACUGUGCUCUGAGGCCCACAGUGACAGGAAACACAUCAGCUCUCGACAAAAACCCUUUACCCAGGGAGAGUGAGCAAGAAUAUAGAUCAUAUAUCCUUAAAUUGACAUCAUAA